rnacentral:rRNA from 1 species
AGGCUUUGAAGUGUGGACGCCAGUCUGCAUGGAGCCGACCUUGAAAUACCACCCUUUAAUGUUUGAUGUUCUAACGUUGGCCCGUAAUCCGGGUUGCGGACAGUGUCUGGUGGGUAGUUUGACUGGGGCGGUCUCCUCCUAAAGAGUAACGGAGGAGCACGAAGGUUGGCUAAUCCUGGUCGGACAUCAGGAGGUUAGUGCAAUGGCAUAAGCCAGCUUGACUGCGAGCGUGACGGCGCGAGCAGGUGCGAAAGCAGGUCAUAGUGAUCCGGUGGUUCUGAAUGGAAGGGCCAUCGCUCAACGGAUAAAAGGUACUCCGGGGAUAACAGGCUGAUACCGCCCAAGAGUUCAUAUCGACGGCGGUGUUUGGCACCUCGAUGUCGGCUCAUCACAUCCUGGGGCUGAAGUAGGUCCCAAGGGUAUGGCUGUUCGCCAUUUAAAGUGGUACGCGAGCUGGGUUUAGAACGUCGUGAGACAGUUCGGUCCCUAUCUGCCGUGGGCGCUGGAGAACUGAGGGGGGCUGCUCCUAGUACGAGAGGACCGGAGUGGACGCAUCACUGGUGUUCGGGUUGUCAUGCCAAUGGCACUGCCCGGUAGCUAAAUGCGGAAGAGAUAAGUGCUGAAAGCAUCUAAGCACGAAACUUGCCCCGAGAUGAGUUCUCCCUGACUCCUUGAGAGUCCUGAAGGAACGUUGAAGACGACGACGUUGAUAGGCCGGGUGUGUAAGCGCAGCGAUGCGUUGAGCUAACCGGUACUAAUGAACCGUGAGGCUUAACCUUACAACGCCGAAG